UACGUAGGGUGCAAGCGUUAAUCGGAAUUACUGGGCGUAAAGCGUGCGCAGGCGGUUCGCUAAGACAGAUGUGAAAUCCCCGGGCUUAACCUGGGAACUGCAUUUGUGACUGGCGGGCUAGAGUAUGGCAGAGGAGGGUAGAAUUCCACGUGUAGCAGUGAAAUGCGUAGAGAUGUGGAGGGAUACCGAUGGCGAAGGCAGCCCCCUGGGCCAAUACUGACGCUCAUGCACGAAAGCGUGGGGAGCAAACAGG
rnacentral:rRNA from 1 species